UAUUCUUUUUUUAAGUCGUGUUUGGUGAAUUGGAGUAUUAAACAUUCGAACAACAGGGUGUUAAUUUGCCGUGUUUUAAACUUUUUUUCCUUUCUAAACUUGAGAUUUUGUUGAUAAAUUUCACAAAUUGUUAAGAAAAAAAUGAUCGAAUUACUAUUUUGCCCUUGAUUGUAUUGUAGAGGAUAAUGAACAAGCAGUGGCUUGAUUGUGCCUGAAAACAGCUGAUCAAAUUAUGUUGACUGUUCACAGCUUGUAUACACAGCACACAUAAACCUAUUGUUUUCUAAAUUAUUCUUUUACAGUUUGUUAAAAAAAAAACACACACAAUUAUUUGUUGAUAAUUUCUACAUUUUCUAACGUUUUAAGUUAUAAAUUCAUGUUGCAAAACUUCAGACUAUAAGCGUAAUUUCAAGUGAAAGUUCAUGCCAUCAUGCCGAGAUGACAUUAACGAUUCACAAUGUUACGCUUGAAAGCUUUGUCUGAUAAAGCAUGAAUUAGAUAUUCAUUAAAAUUUGAAAAUCCGAUGAUUUGCAAUUGUGGGUUUUCUACAAAAGUGGCUUGUGCAGUGAAUUUCUACUUGGCAGGGAGAAAUAUAGUAAAAAAAACGACAAUAUCUUCCACAUUUUUGAUCACAUAAAGUUUUGUUUUGUACCGUUUUGAUUUCUAAAUGGCGCUUCACUUGAAAUUACGUGUACUGUCCCUUUAAAGGACUGUCGUAUCUUAAAUUACCCUAAACUCAAAGUUACAUACCCAGCUUUUAAACCUUUAUCAGAGCAGUUAUACAGGAGAUAUUCUUGUUCUUCUGUCCAAAAAUUCUUUGAAAUUUGUGUUUUUUUUUUACAGCAGAGACAAGUAAGGAAAUUGACAGAAUUUAUCGAACUUUUAAGCAAUAGGAAAACGACCUUUUCUUCCUCGUUGUUACAUAAAUAGAGUCAAUAGCUCUGUAACUCAUAAUGCAUCUUAAGGCAAUGUGAAAAUACGCCAACGCUUAUUAUCUAGUGGUGUUUUAUUAGAAUUUCAAAACUUUCUGACUAAAAUUUGCAACGUUUUUUUCCCCGAUAAAUUAUGAAAUCCACCAAUAGAAACAGAAAAAAUCCUCGAAACAUGUUGUACGAUGAGAUAAGAAAAUGGCGGGUUAAAUGAGUCCUUAAAGGGAGUGUUUGCGAAAAAUGAAAGCCUAGUUAAGAUAUUAAUGGUUUGCAUUUUACGUUUUUAGAUUGUCUAAAAUGUUUUAAUAAAAAUUAAUCCUGGGGACUGUUUCUAGCAUAGCACUGGAAUCCAGUGCAGGUAGACGUAUCCCUCAGUCGGUCUUCGGACGUGAAGGCGUGAACACCUCAACCAACCAACCAUCUAGUGCUGACGCAAUG